AGUGAACGCUGGCGGUAGGCCUAACACAUGCAAGUCGAACGGCAGCACAGGAGAGCUUGCUCUCUGGGUGGCGAGUGGCGGACGGGUGAGGAAUACAUCGGAAUCUACCUUUUCGUGGGGGAUAACGUAGGGAAACUUACGCUAAUACCGCAUACGACCUUCGGGUGAAAGCAGGGGACCUUCGGGCCUUGCGCGGAUAGAUGAGCCGAUGUCGGAUUAGCUAGUUGGCGGGGUAAAGGCCCACCAAGGCGACGAUCCGUAGCUGGGCUGAGAGGAUGACCAGGCACACUGGAACUGAGACACGGUCCCGACUCCUACGGGAGGCAGCAGUGGGGAAUAUUGGAAAAUGGGCGCAAGCCUGAUCCAGCCAUACCGCGUGGGUGAAGAAGGCCUUCGGGUUGUAAAGCCCUUUUGUUGGGAAAGAAAAGCAGCCAGUUAAUACCUGGUUGUUCUGACGGUACCCAAAGAAUAAGCUCCGGCUAACUUCGUGCCAGCCGCCGCAGUAACAC
rnacentral:rRNA from 1 species